rnacentral:rRNA from 1 species
GUGCCAGCAGCCGCGGUAAUACGAAGGGGGCUAGCGUUGUUCGGAAUUACUGGGCGUAAAGCGCACGUAGGCGGAUCGAUUAGUCAGGGGUGAAAGCCCAGAGCUCAACUCUGGAACUGCCUUUGAUACUGUCGAUCUGGAGCAGAGUAGAGGUGAGUGGAAUUCCGAGUGUAGAGGUGAAAUUCGUAGAUAUUCGGAGGAACACCAGUGGCGAAGGCGGCUCACUGGACUCUUGCUGACGCUGAGGUGCGAAAGCGUGGGGAGCAAACAGGAUUAGAAACCCCCGUAGUCC